rnacentral:rRNA from 1 species
UACGUAGGGUGCGAGCGUUAAUCGGAAUUACUUGGCGUAAAGAGUGCGUAGGCGGUUCUUUGUGUUCGCUGUGAAAGCCCCGGGCUUAACCUGGGAAUGGCAUUUGGGACUGCAAGGCUGGAGUACGGCAGAGGGAGGUGGAAUUCCAGGUGUAGCAGUGAAAUGCGUAGAUAUCUGGAGGAACACCGAUGGCGAAGGCAGCCUCCUGGGCUAGUACUGACGCUCAUGCACGAAAGCGUGGGGAGCAAACAGG